AACGAACGCUGGCGGCAGGCUUAACACAUGCAAGUCGAGCGCCCCGCAAGGGGAGCGGCAGACGGGUGAGUAACGCGUGGGAAUCUACCCAUCCCUACGGAACAACUCCGGGAAACUGGAGCUAAUACCGUAUACGCCCUUCGGGGGAAAGAUUUAUCGGGGAUGGAUGAGCCCGCGUUGGAUUAGCUAGUUGGUGGGGUAAUGGCCUACCAAGGCGACGAUCCAUAGCUGGUCUGAGAGGAUGAUCAGCCACAUUGGGACUGAGACACGGCCCAAACUCCUACGGGAGGCAGCAGUGGGGAAUAUUGGACAAUGGGCGAAAGCCUGAUCCAGCCAUGCCGCGUGAGUGAUGAAGGCCCUAGGGUUGUAAAGCUCUUUCACCGAUGAAGAUAAUGACGGUAGUCGGAGAAGAAGCCCCGGCUAACUUCGUGCCAGCCGCCGCAGUAAAAC
rnacentral:rRNA from 1 species